AACGAACGCUGGCGGCAUGCCUAACACAUGCAAGUCGAACGAGACGUUCGGGUCUUUUGGCGCACGGCUGUGUAACGCGUGGGAAGCUGCCCUUAGGUACGGAAUAACUCCCCGAAAGGGGUGCUAAUACCGGAUAAGGUCUUCGGACCAAAGAUUUAUCGCGAUUGGAUGGGCCCUCGUUGGAUUAGGUGGUUGGUAGGGUAAAAGCCUACCAAGGCGAGGAUUCAUAGCUGGUAUGGGAGGAUGAUUAGCAACACUGGGACUAAGACACGGCCCAGACUCCUACGGAAGGGAGCAGUGGGGAAUAUUGCACAAUGGGCGAAGGCAUGAUCCAGCAAUGCCGCGUAAGUGAUGAAGGCCUUAGAGUUGUAAUGCUCUAUUACCCGGGAUGAUAGUGACGGUACCGGGUGAAUAAGCUCCGGCUAACUCCGUG
rnacentral:rRNA from 1 species